rnacentral:ncRNA from 2 species
UAUUUUAGUGGGUGCAUCGAAGCCAAUCUACAGAUGGGCGCUUAUGAUUGGUGGAGCAAGUAGCGCAACCGACCGCAAUGGGG